GUUCUUGUAGCUCAGUGGCUAGAGCGUGCGAUUGCAAGGAGCGCAUGCGCAUCCAGUACAUCGCAAGGUCCCUGGUUCGAUCCCGGGCAAGAACU
rfam:Trichosporon oleaginosus strain IBC0246 unplaced genomic scaffold CC85scaffold_26, whole genome shotgun sequence.